GACGAACGCUGGCGGCGUGCUUAACACAUGCAAGUCGAACGGAAAGGCCCUGCUUUUGUGGGGUGCUCGAGUGGCGAACGGGUGAGUAACACGUGAGUAACCUGCCCUUGACUUUGGGAUAACUUCAGGAAACUGGGGCUAAUACCGGAUAGGAGCUCCUGCUGCAUGGUGGGGGUUGGAAAGUUUCGGCGGUUGGGGAUGGACUCGCGGCUUAUCAGCUUGUUGGUGGGGUAGUGGCUUACCAAGGCUUUGACGGGUAGCCGGCCUGAGAGGGUGACCGGCCACAUUGGGACUGAGAUACGACCCAGACUCCUACCGGAGGCAGCAGUGUAGAAUAUUACACAAUGGGCGGAAGCCUGAUGCAGCAACGCCGCGUGCGGGAUGACGGCCUUCGGGUUGUAAACCGCUUUCGCCUGUGACGAAGCGUGAGUGACGGUAAUGGGUAAAGAAGCACCGGCUAACUACGUG
rnacentral:rRNA from 1 species